rnacentral:rRNA from 1 species
GCCAGCCUAACACAUGCAAGUCGAACGGUAGCACAGAGAGCUUGCUCUCGGGUGACGAGUGGCGGACGGGUGAGUAAUGUCUGGGAAACUGCCUGAUGGAGGGGGAUAACUACUGGAAACGGUAGCUAAUACCGCAUAACGUCGCAAGACCAAAGAGGGGGACCUUCGGGCCUCUUGCCAUCAGAUGUGCCCAGAUGGGAUUAGCUAGUAGUGGGGUAACGGCUCACCUAGGCGACGAUCCCUAGCUGGUCUGAGAGGAUGACCAGCCACACUGGAACUGAGACACGGUCCAGACUCCUACGGGAGGCAGCAGUGGGGAAUAUUGCACAAUGGGGCGCAAGCCUGAUGCAGCCAUGCCGCGUGUAUGAAGAAGGNCUUCGGGUUGUAAAGUACUUUCAAGCGGGGAGGAACGGUGUUGUGGUUAAUAACCACAGGCAAUUUGACGUUACCCCGCAGGAAGAAAGCACCGGGGCUAACUACCGUUGGCCAAGCCAGCCGCCGUAAAUAACGGAGGGGUUGCCAAGGCCGUUAAAUCCGGACAUUACUGGGGGCCGUAAAANCGCCAACNGCAAGGCGGGNCUGUACACGUCCGAUUUAAAUCCCCGGG